CCUACGGGUGGCUGCAGUGGGGAAUAUUGCACAAUGGGGGGAACCCUGAUGCAGCGACGCCGCGUGAGUGAAGAAGUAUUUCGGUAUGUAAAGCUCUUUCAGCAGGGAAGAAAAUGACGGUACCUGACUAAGAAGCCCCGGCUAAAUACGUGCCAGCAGCCGCGGUAAUACGUAGGGGGCAAGCGUUAUCCGGAUUUACUGGGAGUAAAGGGAGCGUAGGCGGCUGAGCAAGUCUGAAGUGAAAGCCCGCGGCCCAACUGCGUGAGUGCUUUGGAAACUGGCCGACUAGAGUGCUGGAGAGGUAAGCGGAAUUCCAGGUGUAGCGGUGAAAUGCGUAGAUAUAAGGAGGAACACCAGUGGCGAAGGCGGCUUGCUGGACUGUAACUGACGCUGAGGCUCGAAAGCGUGGGGAGCAAACAGGAUUAGAUACCCCAGUAGUC
rnacentral:rRNA from 1 species